GACGAACGCUGGCGGCGUGCCUAACACAUGCAAGUCGAACGGAACUGUUUUGAAAGAUUUCUUCGGAAUGAAUUUGAUUUAGUUUAGUGGCGGACGGGUGAGUAACGCGUGAGUAACCUGCCUUCAAGAGGGGAAUAACAUUCUGAAAAGAAUGCUAAUACCGCAUGACAUAUCGGAACCACAUGGUUUUGAUAUCAAAGAUUUUAUCGCUUGAAGAUGGACUCGCGUCCGAUUAGUUAGUUGGUGAGGUAACGGCUCACCAAGACCGCGAUCGGUAGCCGGACUGAGAGGUUGAACGGCCACAUUGGGACUGAGACACGGCCCAGACUCCUACGGGAGGCAGCAGUGGGGGAUAUUGCGCAAUGGGGGCAACCCUGACGCAGCAACGCCGCGUGAAGGAUGAAGGUUUUCGGAUUGUAAACUUCUUUUAUUAAGGACGAAAAAUGACGGUACAUAAUGAAUAAGCGCCGGCUAACUACGUG
rnacentral:rRNA from 1 species